ACGUUUUUACUUUUCAUGCAAUACCUCAUUUUUGUCGAAAGUGAGGCAUGACUAUAUUCCGUUUUUCAAGUGUUCGUAAGUAUAUGUGGUCGCCACUGUAUAUAUAUAUACGAUUGGACCGGCUUCUUCACCUACAAAUUUGUGUAAUCGUAGCAUAACUCGCAGGUUAAGAAAUUUGACACAAUAAUGUAUCAAUUUUCAAGACCAGUCACAAACCUUGUACAAAUCAAAUGACUUUCUGCAGGAUCGGCAAUCUAUUCGUGAUGCACAUCAAGUAACAUCAAUGCCGGUGAGGAAGGAUCAAGCUUCAUUCGGCUGCAAACGGGAUCACCAAAGAAAAUUUUACGAAGACCAUGCAUUUCGUCAAAGUUGGCAGUUUUCAAUAUGACAAACAUGGCCUCACAUUUAAAAAGUUACAGUGGUGAAGGUGCGUCAAACCUAAAAUCGAGGAACAUUAUCUUAAUGUAGAGGUUUCAAACUUUGAUAUUAAGAAGAGUAGUAUAUUUAGUUUAAUUCUUUUUAUUUAUUUAAAAAACGAAGACGCAAUAAAAGAUCUGAUUGGCAUCAAAACAGAUGCAAAAUGAAAAAGUGGGACAACUUUUGGAUGGGGAUUUUAAGGAAACUUAUCAAACAUUCAAUUGUUGAUGUAUUUUCAAUAAAGUAAUGCUAUUUACUUUCAGCUAUAUAUUGUACAAAGACUUACUCAUAAAUUUGUUGAAAGCAGAUGUGUUUUAUUAUUUUUCAUUGGAGAAGUAAAAGUAAACUUAAGCAUUGACAAGCGUGUUGAUAUUUCAGUGGAAAUUAAUUUUCUAUUACAUUAUAAAGAUCGUAUGAAACAUAAUAAAAAUUUUGUACACCUGAAUGAGUAUUAAAUUGCAUGUCAAAAUAAAA